GAUGGUUGGAACCAUCAGGAAAAACAAACAAGAUCUACCACCGAUCAUCAUCCAGACUAAACAACGACAGCCAAACUCAUCCGUGUUUGCUUUCCGAAAAACAACUGUGUCCUACGUACUGAACACCAAACACAGGGAGCCAAAGGUGUCUGAGGGUGAGCAACACAAAUCAUUGAUCAUAGAAGACUACAAGCUCUGCUAGGGAGCUGUCGACAACCUGAAUAAGGUUGUCAGUACCUACAGCUUCCAAAGAACACUUCGGUGGCCAAUGGCACUGUUCCACAAUGUUCUGGAUGUGUCUGCAUACAAUGCCUUUGUCUUGUGGGCCGCAUCACUCUCUCACUCACACACACCCCUGAAUUUUUAUUUUUUUUUGCUUAAAUUCUGUUCUGAAGUCUUUAUUCUGAACUUAAAAAUAAAUUGUGUUCUGUUCAAA